AUCAUGUGACCUGGCACCCCAGGUUUCCAAGCAGCCGAUCUGCAGGUACACAGGUACAGUGUUCCUGGGCACAGAGGACGCAAACGGGUUCCCAGUUCAUUACACAGCGGGCCCCCAGAGACAGGAAAAAUGACUGGAGGCUAUAACCCAAUGAGAAGGCUACUCCAAAAGUCUAUGGAAGAAGUAACAAUUUCCUGGGAUACGAUGAUGGCAAAAACAAUAGGAGAAAAAGGAUGUAAGCACUGAGUGGACCACUGACUGGAUAAAACAGGUCUUCAAUAACUGGAAAAUGGAAAUAAUCAGACCAGAACUGGUAUCUUCAACCAGAACAAGGGUGAGAACUGAGAAAAAUGACCUUAGCUCCAUUUGAGCAAGAAGAUUCACUCUGCUAUCAAAUGCGACUCCCUGGAUAAUAGCACUAAGAGACCAAAAAGAAUCAACACAGGCAGCAUCUUAUUGUCACGGGAAUUUGAUCUCCCAUUACAACUGAAAACAAAACCAGCUUUGGCUGAAUAUUGU